AUGGCCAAGAACGCAGGAGGGGUGCUGCUGCCGGUGUCCGCCGAGCCGGGGAAGGGCGACGGCGAGGCCGCGCUCUUCAAGGGCUCCGCCAUGACCCGCCGCGGCGCCGUCGCCGCGCUCUCCUACAUGUCCUGCUCCGUUUUGCUGGUGAUGUUUAACAAGGCGGCUCUAUCUUCAUAUAAAUUCCCUUGCGCGAAUGUCAUUACACUCCUUCAGAUGGUGUGCUCAACGUGCCUUCUCUAUGUUCUGAGACGGUUAAAGAUCAUUUCUUUCACAAAUAGUGAACCGUCAGUACCCUCUGAUUCACUAUUCUUUGUGCCGUUCAGAAUACUGCUGCGCACUUCACCGCUUUCGCUGUCUUAUUUGCUCUAUAUGCUAGCUUCAAUGGAAUCUGUGCGUGGAGUAAAUGUUCCUAUGUAUACAACUCUAAGGCGCACAACAGUAGCAUUUACAAUGACAAUGGAGUAUUUCUUGGCAAAGCAGAAACACACCCCACCUAUAAUUGGCAGUGUGGCUUUGAUUGUAUUCGGAGCAUUUAUUGCUGGGGCUCGAGAUUUAUCAUUUGAUGCUCGUGGGUAUGCCAUUGUCUUCGUCGCCAAUAUAACUACAGCUGUUUAUCUUGCAACUAUAAAUCGUAUUGGCAAAUCUAGCGGGCUGAAUAGCUUUGGCCUGAUGUGGUGCAAUGGACUUGUUUGUGGACCUGCAGUACUGUUGUUGACAUAUAUUCAGGGCGACCUCAAGAAAACUAUUGAAUUUCCUUACCUUUAUUCCCCUGGCUUUCAGGUGGUGCUGCUAUUUUCAUGUACACUAGCAUUUCUAUUGAACUACACCAUCUUCUGGAAUACAAUCCUGAAUUCUGCACUUACACAGUCAAUGUGUGGCAAUUUGAAGGAUUUCUUCACUGUUGGACUUGGCUGGGUACUCUUCGGUGGGCUUCCUUUUGAUCUGCUUAAUGUCAUCGGCCAAGGGCUUGGCUUCGUUGGCUCAGGCAUGUAUGCCUACUGCAAGAUCAAAGGAAAAUAG
rnacentral:rRNA from 1 species